UGGCGGCGUGCUUAAUACAUGCAAGUCGACGAAGCACUUUGACAGAUCCCCUCGGGGUGAAGAUGAUUGUGACUUAGUGGCGGACGGGUGAGUAACGCGUGGGGAACCUGCCUCGUGCUGGGGGAUAACAGUUAGAAAUGACUGCUAAUACCGCAUAAGCGCACAGUAAGGCAUCUUACAGUGUGAAAAGAUUUAUCGGCAUGAGAUGGACCCGCGUCUGAUUAGGUAGUUGGCGGGGUAACGGCCCACCAAGCCCGCGAUCAGUAGCCGACUUGAGAGAGUGAUCGGCCACAUUGGGACUGAGACACGGCCCAGACUCCUACGGGAGGCAGCAGUAGGGAAUAUUGCACAAUGGGGGAAACCCUGAAUGCAGCGACGCCGCGUGAGUGAUGAAGUAUUUCGGUACGUAAAACUCUAUCAGCAGGGAAGAUAAUGACGGUACCUGACUAAGAAGCCCCGGCUAACUACGUGCCAGCCGCCGC
rnacentral:rRNA from 1 species